rfam:Bacillus pseudofirmus OF4, complete genome.
UACACCUUUAAAGAAGUACAGAGAGACUUCAAAGGAAUAGUGCAAGAAGGAGAGGUCCCAACAGACCUCCCUGCUUCCCUAUACCCUGAGAGUCUUCUCUCAGGGUUUUUUGUAU